rnacentral:rRNA from 1 species
CAAUAGCGUAUAUUAAAGUUGUUGCAGUUAAAAAGCUCGUAGUUGAAUUUUUGCUUGCCGCCGAUGUCGGAACUUCCGUACGUUCGGCGGCGUGCAUCCUUGGGUGGAACCUGUGUGGCAUUAGGUUGUCGUGCAGGGGAUGCUCAUCGUUUACUGUGAAAAAAUUAGAGUGUUCAAAGCAGGCUUACGCCGUUGAAUAUAUUAGCAUGGAAUAAUAAGAUAGGACCUUGGUACUAUUUUGUUGGUUUGCGCACCGAGGUAAUGAUUAACAGGGACAGUUGGGGGUAUUCGUAUUCCAUUGUCAGAGGUGAAAUUCUUGGAUUUCUGGAAGACGAACUACUGCGAANGNAUUUACNAAGGAUGUUUNCAUUG